GGGUCAGUAGGUUGGUCGUGCCACCGGUACGUACUGGUCUCACUGAUUCCUCCUUCCUGAAGAACCGUAAUGCCAUUAAUUUGGUGUUGCGGGGAAACAGGACUGUUACUUUGAAAAAAUUAGAGUGUUUAAAGCAAGCUAACGCUUGAAUACAUUACCAUGGAAUAAUGAAAUAGGACGAUCGAUCCUAUUUUGUUGGUUUCUAGGAUUGACGUA
rnacentral:rRNA from 1 species